rnacentral:rRNA from 1 species
CGGGGGGGGGGGCAAGCGUUGUUCGGAAUUACUGGGCGUAAAGGGCGCGCAGGCGGGCCUGACAAGUCCCUCGUGAAAUCCCACAGCUCAACUGUGGAACUGCGGGGGAUACUGCCCGGGCUUGAGUCCGGGAGAGGAGAGUGGAAUUCCCAGUGUAGCGGUGAAAUGCGUAGAUAUUGGGAGGAACACCGGUGGCGAAGGCGGCUCUCUGGACCGGUACUGACGCUGAGGCGCGAAAGCUAGGGGAGCAAACGGGAUUAGAUACCCCGGUAGUCCUAGCUGUAAACGUUGAGCACUUGGUGUGGCGGGUAUCGACCCCUGCCGUGCCGAAGCUAACGCAUUAAGUGCUCCGCCUGGGGAGUACGGUCGCAAGGCUG